UGAACGCUAGCGACAGGCCUAACACAUGCAAGUCGAGGGCAGCACAAGGAGCAAUCUGAGGUGGCGACCGGCGCACGGGUGAGUAACACGUAUGCAACCUGCCUGUAAGCGGGGAAUAACCCGUUGAAAGACGGACUAAUACCGCAUAAUACUAAAUUACUGCAUGGUAAUUUAUUUAAACAUUUAUGGCUUACAGAUGGGCAUGCGCAUGAUUAGCUAGUUGGAGAGGUAACGGCUCCCCAAGGCAACGAUCAUUAGGGGUUCUGAGAGGAAGGUCCCCCACACUGGUACUGAGACACGGACCAGACUCCUACGGGAGGCAGCAGUGAGGAAUAUUGGUCAAUGGACGAGAGUCUGAACCAGCCAAGUCGCGUGCAGGAAGAAUGUCCUUAAUGGAUUGUAAACUGCUUUUGCAGGGGAAUAAAGUGCAUCACGUGUGAUGUUUUGUAUGUACUCUGCGAAUAAGGAUCGGCUAACUCCGUGCCAGCAGCGGC
rnacentral:rRNA from 1 species